rnacentral:pre_miRNA from 1 species
UAUAUACUCCCUCCGUUCAAAAUUACUUGUUGCAAAAAUGAAUGUAUCUAGACGUAUUUUAAUUCUAGAUAUAUCCAUUUCCGAGACAAGUAAUUCCGAACGAAGGGAGUAUCUU